rnacentral:rRNA from 1 species
UACGGGGGGGGCAAGCGUUGUUCGGAAUUACUGGGCGUAAAGGGCUCGUAGGUGGCCAACUAAGUCAGACGUGAAAUCCCUCGGCUUAACCGGGGAACUGCGUCUGAUACUGGAUGGCUUGAGUUCGGGAGAGGGAUGCGGAAUUCCUGGUGUAGCGGUGAAAUGCGCAGAUAUCAGGAGGAACACCGGUGGCGAAGGCGGUUCUCUGGGCAUGUCCUGACGCUGAGGAGCGAAAGUGUGGGGAGCGAACAGG